CACAUGCAGUCGAACGAGCGAGAGAGAGCUUGCUUUCUCAAGCGAGUGGCGAACGGGUGAGUAACGCGUGAGGAACCUGCCUCAAAGAGGGGGACAACAGUUGGAAACGACUGCUAAUACCGCAUAAGCCCACGACCCGGCAUCGGGUAGAGGGAAAAGGAGCAAUCCGCUUUGAGAUGGCCUCGCGUCCGAUUAGCUAGUUGGUGAGGUAAUGGCCCACCAAGGCGACGAUCGGUAGCCGGACUGAGAGGUUGAACGGCCACAUUGGGACUGAGACACGGCCCAGACUCCUACGGGAGGCAGCAGUGGGGAAUAUUGCACAAUGGGGGAAACCCUGAUGCAGCGACGCCGCGUGGAGGAAGAAGGUCUUCGGAUUGUAAACUCCUGUUGUUGAGGAAGAUAAUGACGGUACUCAACAAGGAAGUGACGGCUAACUACGUGCCAGCAGCCGCGGUAAAACGUAGGUCACAAGCGUUGUCCGGAAUUACUGGGUGUAAAGGGAGCGCAGGCGGGAAGACAAGUUGGAAGUGAAAUCCAUGGGCUCAACCCAUGAACUGCUUUCAAAACUGUUUUUCUUGAGUAGUGCAGAGGUAGGCGGAAUUCCCGGUGUAGCGGUGGAAUGCGUAGAUAUCGGGAGGAACACCAGUGGCGAAGGCGGCCUACUGGGCACCAACUGACGCUGAGGCUCGAAAGUGUGGGUAGCAAACAGGAUUAGAUACCCUGGUAGUCCACACUGUAAACGAUGAUUACUAGGUGUUGGAGGAUUGACCCCUUCAGUGCCGCAGUUAACACAAUAAGUAAUCCACCUGG
rnacentral:rRNA from 1 species